rnacentral:rRNA from 1 species
GACGAACGCUGGCGGCGUGCUUAACACAUGCAAGUCGAACGGAAAGGCCCGGCUUUGGUGGGGUGCUCUAGUGGCGAACGGGUGAGUAACACGUGAGUAACCUGCCCUUGACUUUGGGAUAACUUCAGGAAACUGGGGCUAAUACCGGAUAGGAGCUCCUGCUGCAUGGUGGGGGUUGGAAGGUUUCGGCGGUUGGGGAUGGACUCGCGGCUUAUCAGAUUGUUGGUUGGGUAGUGGCUUACCAAGGCUUUGACGGGUAGCCGGCCUGAGAGGGUGACCGGCCACAUUGGGACUGAGAUACGGCCCAGACUAGUAUGGGAGGCAGCGGUGGGGAAUAUUGCACAAUGGGCUGAAGGAUGAUGCAGUCCCGCAGUGUGCGGGAUGACGGCCUUCGGUUUGUAAACCGAUUUCGACUGUGACGAGGUGUGAGUGACGGUAAUGGGUAAAGAAGCACCGGCUAACUACGUG